GAUGAACGCUGGCGGCGUGCUUAAUACAUGCAAGUCGAGCGGAAAGGCGCGGCUCUUGCUGGGUGCUUGUGUGGCGCAGGGGUGUGUAACACGUGUGUAACCUGUCCUUGAUUGUGGGAUAACUCCACGAAACAGCGGCUCAAAUCGGAUAUGAUCUUCUGAUGCAUGUUGGUCGUUGGUGAGUUUCGGUGGUUGUGGAUGGUCUCGCGGCUUAUCAGCUUGUUGGUGGGGUAGUGGCUUACCAAGGCUUUGACGGGUAGCCGGCCUGAGAGGGUGACCGGCCACAUUGGGACUGCGAUACGGCCCAGACUCCUACCGGAGGCAGAAGUGGGGAAUAUUGCACAAUGGGCGGAAGCCUGAUGCAGCAACGCCGCGUGCGGGAUGACGGCCUUCGGGUUGUAAACCGCUUUCGACUGUGACGAAGCGUGAGUGACGGUAAUGGGUAAAGAAGCACCGGCUAACUACGUG
rnacentral:rRNA from 1 species